GUGCCCAUAGCUCAGCCGGAAGAGCACCUGCCUUCUAAGCAGGUUGUCGGGGGUUCAAGUCCCUCUGGGCAUA
rnacentral:tRNA from 1 species